UCCAGACUCCUACGGGAGGCAGCAGUGGGGAAUAUUGCACAAUGGGGGAAACCCUGAUGCAGCGACGCCGCGUGGGUGAAGAAGUAUUUCGGUAUGUAAAGCCCUAUCAGCAGGGAAGAAAGAAGACGGUACCUGACUAAGAAGCCCCGGCUAACUACGUGCCAGCAGCCGCGGUAAUACGUAGGGGGCGAGCGUUAUCCGGAUUCACUGGGUGUAAAGGGAGCGUAGACGGCCGUGCAAGCCAGGAGUGAAAGCCCGGGGCCCAACCCCGGGACUGCUCUGGAAACUGUGCGGCUAGAGUACUGGAGGGGCAGGCGGAAUUCCUAGUGUAGCGGUGAAAUGCGUAGAUAUUAGGAGGAACACCAGUGGCGAAGGCGGCCUGCUGGACAGUAACUGACGUUGAGGCUCGAAAGCGUGGGGAGCAAACAGGAUUAGAUACCCGAGUUC
rnacentral:rRNA from 1 species